CUACGGGAGGCAGCAGUAGGGAAUCUUGGACAAUGGGCGCAAGCCUGAUCCAGCCAUGCCGCGUGGGCGAGGAAGGUCUUCGGAUCGUAAAGCCCUUUUCUCGGGGAAGAACCGCCUUUACAGGAAAUGGUAGAGGUCUGACGGUACCCGAGGAAUAAGCAACGGCUAACUCCGUGCCAGCAGCCGCGGUAAUACGGAGGUUGCAAGCGUUGUUCGGAAUGACUGGGCGUAAAGGGAGCGCAGGCGGCUUGUUAAGUCUGGAGUGAAAGCCCGGGGCUCAACCCCGGCGGGUCUUCGGAUACUGGCAAGCUUGAGUACGGAAGAGGAGAGCGGAAUUCCAGGUGUAGCGGUGAAAUGCGUAGAUAUCUGGAGGAACACCGGUGGCGAAAGCGGCUCUCUGGUCCGAUACUGACGCUCAGGCUCGAAAGCGUGGGGAGCAAACGGGAUUAGAUACCCCGGUAGA
rnacentral:rRNA from 1 species